rnacentral:pre_miRNA from 1 species
CACCUAGGGCUCUUGUUAAAAAGCAGAUUCUGAUUCAGGGACCAAGAUUCUGCAUUUUUAGCAAGUUCUCAAGUGAUG